UACGUAGGGGGCAAGCGUUGUCCGGAAUCAUUGGGCGUAAAGAGCGUGUAGGCGGUCCUGUAAGUCCGCUGUGAAAGUCAAGGGCUCAACCCUUGAAGUGCCGGUGGAUACUGCAGGACUAGAGUCCGGAAGAGGCGAGUGGAAUUCCUGGUGUAGCGGUGAAAUGCGCAGAUAUCAGGAGGAACACCGGUGGCGAAGGCGGGUCUCUGGGCCAUAACUGACGCUGAGAAGCGAAAGCAUGGGGAGCGAACAGG
rnacentral:rRNA from 1 species